UACGUAGGGGGCGAGCGUUGUCCGGAUUUACUGGGCGUAAAGAGCUCGUAGGCGGUUUGAUAAGUCGGGUGUGAAACCUCCAGGCUUAACCUGGAGUCGCCACUUGAUACUGUCAUGACUAGAAUCCGGUAGGGGACCAUGGAAUUCCUGGUGUAGCGGUGAAAUGCGCAGAUAUCAGGAGGAACACCAGUAGCGAAGGCGGUGGUCUGGGCCGGUAUUGACGCUGAGGAGCGAAAGCGUGGGGAGCGAACAGG
rnacentral:rRNA from 1 species